AUGCUGACUAAAACAGUACGCAGUAGACCAUCAUCAAAGACCAACGAGAUGCAAGAAAUAGGGGAGAGCACCAACAUUCAAGGCAAACAAACACAACAACAUAGGGGAAUGGAACAAGCAGAAGAUGUUCUUCCAACAACAGACAGCCUAACCGCCGUAGACCAAGCCGGAAAACCUUCGUUGUCCGGGCAAGAAAUAACAGAGAUGGCAACGUCGACGCAAAACAUCGAAAAGCCACAAGACAAAAACGACGACACCACGGAGGUCCAAAAAGCUCAACUCACCAAAGAAAAGGUCGAAGAGGCAGCACCGGCGGAAACGACUGAAAAGAAACCUCAACAGGACACGCACGCAGACACAAGUAAAGAAGCAAAUGGCCACAGUGCAUUGGAAAACCAUGCGUCAAACAUUCCAGUGAAAGAGUCAGAUAGCAACGAGAAAAAGGCCACACCAUCAGACAAGAAAACAUUGUGCUGUAAAAGAUGUUGCCGCCACAAACACGGCGGUAACCCAGGGCAGCAUUCAAACAAAACGUGA
rnacentral:rRNA from 1 species